rnacentral:rRNA from 1 species
AUGAACGUUGGCGGUGCGCCUAAUACAUGCAAGUCGAACGGAGACAUUAGCAAUAUUGUCUUAGUGGCGAACGGGUGAGUAACGCGUUGGUGAUCUGCCGCGAAGUGUGGAAUAACGUUCCGAAAGUAGCACUAAUACCGCAUGGUCUUCCGGUUUUUAGAAAACUGGAAGUAAAGGAGUAAUUCGCUUCGAGAGGAGCCUGCGUCCCAUCAGCUAGUUGGUAAGGUAAUGGCUUACCAAGGCUAUGACGGGUAGGGGGCCUGAGAGGGUGGCCCGCCACAAUGGAACUGAAACACGGCCCAUACACCUACGGGUGGCAGCAGUAGGGAAUAUUAGUAAUGGGCGAAAGCCUGAACUAGCG